rnacentral:misc_RNA from 1 species
GAUGAAGAACGUAGCGAAAUGCGAUAAGUAAUGUGAAUUGCAGAAUUCAGUGAAUCAUCGAAUCUUUGAACGCACAUUGCGCCCGCCAGCAUUCUGGCGGGCAUGCCUGUUCGAGCGUCAUUUCAACCCUCGAGCCCCCCCGGGGGCCUCGGUGUUGGGGGACGGCACACCAGCCGCCCCCGAAACGCAGUGGCGACCCCGCCGCAGCCUCCCCUGCGUAGUAGCACACACCUCGCACCGGAGCGCGGAGGCGGUCACGCCGUAAAACGCCCAACUUUCUUAGAGUUGACCUCGGAUCAGGUAGGAAUACCCGCUGAACUUAAGCAUAUCAAUAAGCGGAGGA